GACACGAUAAUUAGCUUACGAGCUAAUUUCCCGCUGAUUGUCGCAAAUCAUCGCCGAGUGUCGGGGUUUAAACGAUGAAAGCCGUGUACGCGAGACAAAGAAAAAACGUCAAAGAGGAUUCUGUCUCCUGUACGCGGCGCGAGCGGAGAGGCAGAGGGUGGAGACACGUUCAAAGCGCAAAGCUUCGCUUUUCGGCCGCGUUUGAUGUCGAGCACUUGUGAAACGACCGACGGCAGCCGCUCGCGCGCCAACCGAUGCUUCGCUUUAAUUUGAACCUCGGAUCGUUAUUGGAUGAUAAAGCAAAUACCGGCUCGUAACAAGACCGAAUCGUAUCAGCCGCCAAGUGAAAGAGUUAUCGCGAGCGUGCUACCAUCGCGAUUCUCUCGUCCUAUUUCCAGCCGCGGUGAAAAGAGAGGUGGAAAAGUGACAGUUCCAGUUUCCCGUGAUACGAAGCGGGAACGUAAAAAGAACGAAUCCAAUGACGGCUUUUUUUUUCUCACUGUUAGCUUCGAAACAUCCAAGAGUCCGUUAAAUUCUCAAUUACGACGCGCAGGUUGGCAUCGGAGCUUUUCGAGGCUCCUCAAGUUCGUUCGCGAGUCACGAUUUUCACGCUGCUCCAAUCAUCUCCCUUCUAAACUCUUCCUGCCUUUCCUUCUCUGUCGAGCAGCGCACAGAACGAUGGGUACUGUUCCGCGCGCGAGUGCGAAGGGCGACACUUUCGCGUCGCGACGCAUUGCGGUGUUCACGAUGCGUGUCACGACGACUACGACGACGACGACGGCGAUGACGGUUAGGAGAACGGCGCGGCGCCGCGACAGUGUCAGUUGUGGCACGCACACGGACGCCCACUUUCACCAAGUCCCUUAUGUCUGCCCGUCUGUCUACCCGAUUGUACGUAUGUCUGCGGCGUGCACGCACGCGUUAAGGACGUCGAGAUGCAUGCCUCGAUGAAGUCACCACCGGUGUUGCUGCACUUGCUCAACAUAAGUGCGAAUUGCAACACCACUCCCGCGUCCGCUCGUCACCGCCGCCCCUCGCCGUCGCCACGCUGCUACCACGACGCCGAGGGGGUGGUUGCGAGCCGAGUACCGUUGCGUGCAUAACGUGCGGACGCGCAUACUAAUUACGGCGUUUCCAUUUUGCACCAUCCGCCGUGCCACUCGCUAUCUGCCAUCCAUGGCCCCUCCGUUUCGUUUCCGACAGCUCUCCAGUGGUGUACAGUAAUGGGGCAGCCGACUCUUUUCUCGUCGCUUGAAAGGAACGACCUCUGAACUCUGCUCUCCCGUAAGGGUACCAACAAUUCCCUGCUGGACCGGCAGAAGUCGAAUGCCAACGAUAUACACCUUUCUAUCAAAUUUAUUAUUGAUUUAGAUGCAGUUAUGGAAAAUCAUUGUCAAUUGAUUCAUUCCACUUGAUUUAUAAAUAUAACACUGUCGAAUAUUUCAACAACUACAUUCCGUCGGUCUUACACGUGGUUAAUUCCGAGGUACAAUUUAAAAUUCUGUAUCUCGGUAGCUAGUAUUUCGUACGCCGACACGAGAGAAACAGAGAGGAGAAAGACAUCGGAACAGCCUCAGAAAGAAGAGAAUCAGACGAAUUCAGCGUCGCUUUUGUCGGUCUGCCUCGUCAUUCGUAUUCUGGUAAUUAGUUCGUUUGCCUCUGCUAAUUACGUUACUUUUUAAUACCGUACAAGAGAGGAACGGCUGCGAGCUCAUACGGGUCGUGUCGUAACGCGAGCGUGCACACGAACGCCAUCCUUGCGCGCGAGGUUCAUCUUCUUUUUUCGGGGAUUCGAAAGCAACAUCCGACGUGCCUCCUAAUAGUCGCGACCCCUUUUUUCGAAUGCGAGCGACGCGACUCGAAAUUUCAUCCUGUCGUGAUUGCAAACACCGACCUGCCGACCACAAACGCGACGAGUUAGUGCUUCUAAUUGUCGAACAGAAUUCGUUCAUGAAUUCGCGCGAACAUUAUCACGCCCGCGUAUUUAUUCAUUUUAAUUUUUUAUUGAGACGGUGUUCUUGAGAAAAAGUCAAUUUCUAAAUUUAUCCUAACGAACUUGACAGGAUUCGUGAUAUCAUAUUUUAAUGUCUUCUCUACGGACUUUUCAUAAACGACGGAAGAUACGAAUUAAUGAAAAAAGUGGAAGCGUAAUCGUUACGAUUCGGUGAGUUUCGCUCCUAUAGUGGGUGUUUAUCUCUCGUCCUCUCAGGCCUGUAGCCCUCUCCGGUGGCUGCUCCAGCCUCCUCCAAGCUUGCAAUUAGGGGGCGUCGGGACGGUACGCGACGCUACGUCGCCCUUUUGCCUGUUAUUUAAUUGGGAUGUGCAAUUGAAUGACACUCGGUAACACCAAGUAACGGGAAAGAGUUGGCGUCGCUGCGGCUGCCACGCCUAACGACGUCAUUGUGGAUUCCCACUUUCGGGCCACUUCAACCUCUUUUCUCACCAACCACUCUCGAUGAUGGUUAACGCCUUACGAAUCGACGUCGCCUCUGUUCUCAAAACAGGCAGAAAUCCCGGGUUCAUCGUUUAACGACUCUGUUUCUAUUUUCACUCGCUGAUAGAGGGGGACGCGUCGAACAAAAGGAGGGGAGGAUUUUCCUCCCAUUCGCGUUAAUUCGCCGUGGCGACGAAACCGAUAGCGUUACGAAACACCACGGGAGGAUUCCCCGAAGCGAUCUCGUGCGAACGCUCGAGAUUCCCAAAACAGCUAUUAUAACGAACCCUGAUCGCGCCACGGUCAAUAAAACGAAACCUGACAGCGGAUGAUUGACAGCUGAAACGGCCCAAAGCCGAGCUUUAUUGUCGCCCCGGGCGCAACGCCAUCACGAAUAGAAAUAAUUCUCGCCUAAGGACUUAAGGGAUGAUUCUCCCUCUCUCUCUCUCUCGCUCUUAAUUCCUACAGUGCACCCCUGACAUGGCCCUGCAUCCGUGUAGAUUCUUGCGGGAAAAAACUAAAUCGUACCUGCCACCCCGUACUUGGCUACGAAAAUAAACCCAGGUCCGAUUUCCACUAGGUCAAACAAAUAACCUAGAUCGAAACGAUCAAUUCUCAAGUGCUUAUUUUACUAUCCGUGACUUUUUUUCUAUCGCAAGUUAAUCAAUCAAUGUUCGGUCACUCGAAGGGGAAGAAACCUUUUUAAAUUCAGAUAUCUACUUACGCGACCAUAACGGAUCAUUAACCAGAUGUCAGGCCUAAAAACUCAUUUCCAUCGGUCCAUCGUGGUUGAAUCUCGGGUGAAAAAGCUGCGAGUCGCAGGGCUAAACUCGCCGAGACGCACUAACAAGGCGCAACCGGGCAUCGGUGUUAGAACGAAGGAGAAGGUUCCUUAACGAGAUCAGCUCCGUGAAAAGACGCGGUGAUGCAGAUUCGCGAGAUAUCCCGUAGGAUUGCAAGGGAGACGGAGAAUGAGCGAGGAAGAGAAGCAGUGAGCCUUUGACACUCUUCGAACAGGGGUGCACGGGGAUGCGGAAGACGCGGUGAUGAGACGUAGAAAAGAAGAAGACGAGCGGAGAAAAGUCGGAGAGCGUGGGUGUCGUUAUGGAAAUAACCGGAGAAGAGGCAGCGAUGCAGACCUGUUAACGCGGCGGAGGGGGAGUGGAACAGACGACGCUGGAGGAAUAAUGAAGAGGACAGGUCGAAACGUAGAAAGAAGGAGACAAGAACGGGGUUAGGGAGGAGAGACGGAUCCUUACGCUAUCCAACGCAUUCUGCGAUGGAAAAUGUUUCCAUUGAUACCCUGGUACCCGGUAGGCCCUCGUUCGUUGCCCGUUUGCGCUCAACCCCUCGCCCGUUACCCGGGGAAUAUAAUUCAACGAUCCUCCUCCGUGAAAGGCGAGCGGUGAAGCCGCGCGGGGCGAGAAGAAGGGAAGGCUUGCGUUGAAUGCCCAAUUAUUAUAUCGUGAAAUAUCUGCUAGAAAAUUGGAUAAUGCACUCUCUCCUCCUCCUCCGCGGGCAGGAGACGGACUCCUGGCUCUGGCUGGUACGUUGCGAACGGUGGAAGGGGUAGAAAAGUCGGGGGCCAAGAGGAAAAGAAACCGUCGACGGGGUAAAAAAGAGAGAAAGAGAGCCAAGGACCAGUCAGUCAGCCAUGGGAAGAAGCCCCGGUGAACUGUGUGGGGGUGAGCGAAGAUCUGGCUCACGCACGGUGUGCAUAACGGCCUCUACGUGGGAAAGAAACGAAACCGCAGAAAACGCCAGUCAACGGCAGCCAGUAUGCGGAAACCGCGGCGGAAUGACACUCGUGCUCGCGCUAAUUGGGCCCUCGAGGUGACGCCGCCGAGAGGGAUGCUCUUCCACCCUCGGGACCAUCCUCUCUCUCUCUCUCUCCUCUCCUCAUGACCUGCUCCUUUCUCCGUCUCUCUCGCUCUAACGAUAUUCCUCGGGAAACUGUCCCUUUUUCUCCUCUCGCGACAGACGAGGCUUUUCGGGGGUUGAAAAUGCCUGAAGGACGAGUCGAAAAGUGGGGAGCGACGGGGGAGGCGGUGGAUGCACGGGGAAAAAGGCUGAUUGGGGAGCGACGAAUGAAAAGAAAAGAGAACGAGGACGACAGAAAGAGAGAGAAAGAGGACACGCGAGAGAUCACAUUAAAUCUUACCGGGUGCACGCCUCUGCAGAGCACCUCUGCCGCACCCCUUUUCAGUCCUCUCUAUUACUCUUUCUUUCCUUUUACUCCUCCACGCAAAUCCACGUGCGAUCCUGCGAGCGUUACCUCGGGAGGAGCGAAAGCGAAUACAAACGAAGAAUAGUGGAUAAAUAGACGCGUUAGGGUUCUUCGCGUAAAAAGAAAUCCACAAAGACAAACGUCUUCGGCGCAGUUGACGAGAUGAACAAUUAUAAAAAGCGAUGAAACAUUUUUUAACCAUAUAAGCAUAAAACAAUUGCAAUACCAUAUUGCAUGUAACAGAGAAACAGUAGAAUCAUUAU